GCUGGGCAUGGUGGAGCAUGUCUGUAAUCCCAGGGGCUUGGGAGGCUGAGACAGGAGGAUUGCAAGUUCAAAGCCAGCCUCAGCAACUAACUUAGCAAGGCCCUAAGCAAUUUAACAAGAUCCUGUCUAAA
rnacentral:sRNA from 1 species